GCUUUUUGCCUCACGACUUUUUGAAACAGUUUGUGGGCAGUUGUCCAAUUUUGGGAUACUGAUGGACAUUGUCUAUGCAUAACGUUGUACAGACGUAUUAUUAUUCACCGUCGUGUAUUGUAGAGCGUUAUUUGACAGUUUGUUGACGGAUACACUGUGUAUACGUACAAUAACGUCGUUAUUUAACGUCUUACUUUAUAACGUUAGCAUACACGUUAAGAGUGGAUUUUUAUUUACUCUACAAGCAUUAUUACUGUUUUGAAGUAACGAUCCUGUUUUUAUAGAAUAUUCGAUUGUUUACUUGGUGGAUUAAUUGGAUUGUACGUGCUCCUAUACAGACAGUGAUUUGUUAACUUGGAUUUUAUACAACUAUAUAUAGUUUAUAGCGGGAGUUUUAAACAGAUAAGUGUGGCAUGAAGGCUCGAAAGGUGACAUUUAGUUUCACUUGUUGUUUUAGCAUAUUAUUGCUCCUUCUGCUCUACAUCGACAUUCGGAUACAACCCCAGUCUACUAACACACAUCUACAUCUAUAUUACAGUUUUGUCGCCAAUACAAGCUCCUCUACAGAUUAUGCAGAUACUGUGGGACGAAGUAUAAAAUUCAUCAGCAUCUUUAACCAAACUUCUGCCGAGCACGUGCGUUCAGCAUUGCUUAAAAUAAGCAAUGACACAGAGCAUGCGCAAGACACGCCUACAGCGUCACGUGCUCACAUUAUUGCUAUAGUUUCGUACAUGCGCAGUGGGUCUACAUUAACAGCAGACAUAAUGCAGC